CGGCUGUCUGGGUCUGCAAAUGACGCUGAGGCCUCGAAAGCAUGGGUAGCGAACAGGAUUUAGAUACCCUGGUAGUCCAUGCCGUAAACGAUGAUUACUAAGUGUUGGAGGGUUUCCGCCCUUCAGUGCUGCAGCUAACGCAUUAAGUAAUCCGCCUGGGGAGUACGACCGCAAGGUUGAAACUCAAAAGAAUUGACGGGGGCCCGCACAAGCGGUGGAGCAUGUGGUUUAAUUCGAAGCUACGCGAAGAACCUUACCAGGUCUUGACAUCUUCUGACAGUCUAAGAGAUUAGAGGUUCCCUUCGGGGACAGAAUGACAGGUGGUGCAUGGUUGUCGUCAGCUCGUGUCGUGAGAUGUUGGGUUAAGUCCCGCAACGAGCGCAACCCUUAUUACUAGUUGCCAGCAUUAAGUUGGGCACUCUAGUGAGACUGCCGGUGACAAACCGGAGGAAGGUGGGGACGACGUCAAAUCAUCAUGCCCCUUAUGACCUGGGCUACACACGUGCUACAAUGGAUGGUACAACGAGUCGCGAGACCGCGAGGUUAAGCUAAUCUCUUAAAACCAUUCUCAGUUCGGACUGUAGGCUGCAACUCGCCUACACGAAGUCGGAAUCGCUAGUAAUCGCGGAUCAGCAUGCCGCGGUGAAUACGUUCCCGGGCCUUGUACACACCGCCCGUCACACCAUGAGAGUUUGUAACACCCAAAGCCGGUGGGGUAACCUUUUAGGAGCUAGCCGUCUAAGGUGGGACAGAUGAUUAGGGUGAAGUCGUAACA
rnacentral:rRNA from 1 species